rnacentral:rRNA from 1 species
UACGGGGGAUGCGAGCGUCGUCCGGAAUGAUUGGGCGUAAAGGGCGCGUAGGCGGCCCGGUAAGUCUGGAGUGAAAGUCCUGCCUUCAAGGUGGGAAUUGCUUUGGAUACUGUCGGGCUUGAGUGCAGGAGAGGUAAGUGGAAUUCCUAGUGUAGCGGUGAAAUGCGUAGAGAUUGGGAGGAACACCAGUGGCGAAGGCGACUUACUGGACUGUAACUGACGCUGAGGCGCGAAAGUGUGGGGAGCAAAC